GUCCUAGCCAUAAACGAUGGGCACUAGGUAGGGGAGGCACCUAUGUCUUCCUCUGCCGGAGCUAAUGUGUUAAGUGCCCCGCCUGGGGAGUACGCUCGCAAGGGUAAAACUCAAAGGAAUUGACGGGGGCUCACACAAGCGGUGGAGCAUGUGGUUCAAUUCGAAGCAACGCGAAGAACCUUACCUGGCCUUGACAUGCUGGAAUUAGCCCUGUGAAAGCGGGGUAACAGCUCUUCGGAGCCGGAACCAGUACAGGUGUUGCAUGGCUGUCGU
rnacentral:rRNA from 1 species